rnacentral:rRNA from 1 species
UACGGGGGGGGCAAGCGUUGUUCGGAAUUACUGGGCGUAAAGGGCUCGUAGGUGGCCAACUAAGUCAGACGUGAAAUCCCUCGGCUUAACCGGGGAACUGCGUCUGAUACUGGAUGGCUUGAGUUUGGGAGAGGGACGCGGAAUUCCAGGUGUAGCGGUGAAAUGCGUAGAUAUCUGGAGGAACACCUGUGGCGAAAGCGGCGCACUGGACCACAACUGACGCUGAGGCGCGAAAGCUAGGGGAGCAAACAGG